AGUGAACGCUGGCGGUAGGCCUAACACAUGCAAGUCGAACGGCAGCACAGUAAGAGCUUGCUCUUACGGGUGGCGAGUGGCGGACGGGUGAGGAAUACAUCGGAAUCUACUUUUUCGUGGGGGAUAACGUAGGGAAACUUACGCUAAUACCGCAUACGACCUACGGGUGAAAGCAGGGGAUCUUCGGACCUUGCGCGAUUGAAUGAGCCGAUGUCGGACUAGCUAGUUGGCGGGGUAAAGGCCCACCAAGGCGACGAUCCGUAGCUGGUCUGAGAGGAUGAUCAGCCACACUGGAACUGAGACACGGUCCAGACUCCUACGGGAGGCAGCAGUGGGGAAUAUUGGCCAAUGGGCGCAAGCCUGAUCCAGCCAUACCGCGUGGGUGAAGAAGGCCUUCGGGUUGUAAAGCCCUUUUGUUGGGAAAGAAAAGCAGCAGGUUAAUACCCCGCUGUUCUGACGGUACCCAAAGAAUAAGCACCGGCUAACUUCGUG
rnacentral:rRNA from 1 species